rnacentral:rRNA from 1 species
CCUACGGGAGGCUGCAGUCGAGAAUCAUUCACAAUGGGGGAAACCCUGAUGGGGCGACGCCGCGUGGGGGAAUGAAGGUCUGCGGAUUGUAAACCCCUGUCAUGUGGGAGCAAAUUAAAAAGAUAGUACCACAAGAGGAAGAGACGGCUAACGCUGGGCCAGCAGCCGCGGUAAUACAGAGGACUCAAGCGUUGUUCGGAAUCACUGGGCGUAAAGCGUGCGUAGGCUGUUUCGUAAGUCGUGUGUGAAAGGCGCGUGCUCAACCCGCGGACGGCACAUGAUACUGCGAGACUAGAGUAAUGGAGGGGGAACCGGAUUUCUCGGUGUAGCCGU